UGCACCGAAGCUGCGGCAGCGACACUCAGGUGUUGUUGGGUAGGGGAGCGUUCUGUAAGCCUGCGAAGGUGGCCUGUGAGGGUUGCUGGAGGUAUCAGAAGUGCGAAUGCUGACAUAAGUAACGAUAAAGCGGGUGAAAAGCCCGCUCGCCGGAAGACCAAGGGUUCCUGUCCAACGUUAAUCGGGGCAGGGUGAGUCGACCCCUAAGGCGAGGCCGAAAGGCGUAGUCGAUGGGAAACGGGUUAAUAUUCCCGUACUUGGUGUUACUGCGAAGGGGGGACGGAGAAGGCUAUGUUGGCCGGGCGACGGUUGUCCCGGUUUAAGCGUGUAGGUGUGUGUUCCAGGUAAAUCCGGUUCACUUUAACACUGAGGCGUGAUGACGAGGCACUACGGUGCUGAAGCAACAAAUGCCCUGCUUCCAGGAAAAGCCUCUAAGCAUCAGGUAACAUCAAAUCGUACCCCAAACCGACACAGGUGGUCAGGUAGAGAAUACCAAGGCGCUUGAGAGAACUCGGGUGAAGGAACUAGGCAAAAUGGUGCCGUAACUUCGGGAGAAGGCACGCUGACACGUAGGUGAAGUGAUUUACUCAUGGAGCUGAAGUCAGUCGAAGAUACCAGCUGGCUGCAACUGUUUAUUAAAAACACAGCACUGUGCAAACACGAAAGUGGACGUAUACGGUGUGACGCCUGCCCGGUGCCGGAAGGUUAAUUGAUGGGGUCAGCGCAAGCGAAGCUCCUGAUCGAAGCCCCGGUAAACGGCGGCCGUAACUAUAACGGUCCUAAGGUAGCGAAAUUCCUUGUCGGGUAAGUUCCGACCUGCACGAAUGGCGUAAUGAUGGCCAGGCUGUCUCCACCCGAGACUCAGUGAAAUUGAACUCGCUGUGAAGAUGCAGUGUACCCGCGGCAAGACGGAAAGACCCCGUGAACCUUUACUAUAGCUUGACACUGAACAUUGAGCCUUGAUGUGUAGGAUAGGUGGGAGGCUUUGAAGUGUGGACGCCAGUCUGCAUGGAGCCGGCCUUGAAAUACCACCCUUUAAUGUUUGAUGUUCUAACGUGGACCCGUGAUCCGGGUUGCGGACAGUGUCUGGUGGGUAGUUUGACUGGGGCGGUCUCCUCCUAAAGAGUAACGGAGGAGCACGAAGGUUGGCUAAUCCUGGUCGGACAUCAGGAGGUUAGUGCAAUGGCAUAAGCCAGCUUGACUGCGAGCGUGACGGCGCGAGCAGGUGCGAAAGCAGGUCAUAGUGAUCCGGUGGUUCUGAAUGGAAGGGCCAUCGCUCAACGGAUAAAAGGUACUCCGGGGAUAACAGGCUGAUACCGCCCAAGAGUUCAUAUCGACGGCGGUGUUUGGCACCUCGAUGUCGGCUCAUCACAUCCUGGGGCUGAAGUAGGUCCCAAGGGUAUGGCUGUUCGCCAUUUAAAGUGGUACGCGAGCUGGGUUUAGAACGUCGUGAGACAGUUCGGUCCCUAUCUGCCGUGGGCGCUGGAGAACUGAGGGGGGCUGCUCCUAGUACGAGAGGACCGGAGUGGACGCAUCACUGGUGUUCGGGUUGUCAUGCCAAUGGCACUGCCCGGUAGCUAAAUGCGGAAGAGAUAAGUGCUGAAAGCAUCUAAGCACGAAACUUGCCCCGAGAUGAGUUCUCCCUGAGACUUUAGGUCUCCUGAAGGAACGUUGAAGACGACGACGUUGAUAGGCCGGGUGUGUAAGCGCAGCGAUGCGUUGAGCUAACCGGUACUAAUGAACCGUGAGGCUUAACCUUACAACGCCGAAG
rnacentral:rRNA from 1 species